AAGAGGCCUCCUCGUUCAGGGUGCGUCAGAUUCCUGAUGAGGUAACGAAAGUGAAAGGUGAAAAUGUAUCCCUAUACUGUACUUUCCCGAACUUCGGUCAGAAUGCACUGGUGGAUGUAUACUGGAAGAGAGACGGUCAAGAAGGGACGUUGAAUCCCACCGCAAACAGGAGGAUGACAAUGCACAAUGUCCUGAAGGGAUCUGCCGAAUUACAUCUGUUGAACGCGACCUUCCGUGACUCCGGGAUCUAUUAUUGCAGUGUGAGAGGCGGGAAUGGAAAGAUUUCCAAAAGCAAUGGCACGAGGAUUAUUGUACACGUGUCACCGACGCCUUUGAAGAUAAAACAGAUGAACGCUCCUUCCCUGGCCCUAAACUGUACGACUGCUCCGUUUUUCCCGGCGGACUGUGAACUCACCUGGUAUAAAGAUGGCCAAGAAAUAACUUCUGGAAUAAAUACCACUAAAAUACGGAACGAAGAGGGAUUAUACGUUGCUUCCAGCUUCCUGCAUGUAGUGGAUCGCCGAUCGGUUUAUAGUUGCCACGUGUUUCACGUCACCCUCCUGGUUCCGACCGUUGAAACUCACAGUUUUCCUGGAAUGGGAACACGCGUUAAACUCGUCUACUUUCUGGCGGGUGGAUUUGCCAUAUGCGUGCUAAUUAUUCCAGCGCUGGUGUGUUAUGUCAGGCGGUACAAAUUACACAGUACUGAAGGUAAGAAUUGAUUUGAUCCUUGUACGAAAUUAGCGACACAGUGCUGGAAUAACUCUGCGGUUUGGCAACAUCUGAAUAGACAAUGGAUAGGGGACUUUUGGGGUUGAGCCGGAACUUCGACUAUCGAUGUCCCCCGUAGAUGCUGCCUAACCCACUGAAUUACUUCCGAAAAUAGCAAUGUUCAGUUGAAGGUGGAACGAGGAGUGCUGAAAUAACGAUUUAGACCACCUGGCCUUUUUCCGGCCCGCAGCAUUCUGUGGCAAACAUCAUUUUAACCGGUUUAAGCCGUUGGUUGCAAAAUCAUUGUUUUCGUUUGUUCUAAAAGAAGGCGUUUUUAAACACUAGGUGAAAUGCUGCAAAGGUCGGGUUGUUUAAAUAGGGGGCAGUUAUCACAGGAAAGCGGAAGCAAACAAUAGGUUUUCAACUUUUCCGUGUGCUUUUCCUUAGCAUUAGGACUAACGAGGAGAGGAUUUGUUUAAAUAACAAGAUAGCAUGAUCGCAAUGGUCAAUUUCUGCAGCCGAACGAAUCUGGUCACAACUCGAUUAUUAACUGACUAUCGGCAGGCAGGUUGUGAUACGUUGAUGAUUAAAUUUGGUCUUUUUAUUAUGUUCUCUACUAGCACCUGAAAAUAUUGAAGCCAGAACCCACCAUUUCGAAAAACAGUAUCCUUCGUAUGCAGAUAUGAACUUCAGCGGACAGAAGAAAACUACGAAAAACAAACGCCACGAAGAACGAACAACCUAUGGCCAGGUCAAAGAAGUGUCAGAACAUAAACUGACCUAUGCAACUCUGGAUCUCGCCGCUUCUCUGAAACAUUCAAGAACGGCGAAGAACAAUGAAACAGAGUAUGCAGGAAUCAGGAUUUUUCAAUAGCUGUGAAACCAGCUAGCGUCCAUUCACUCUGAAGCGAACGAUAUUUCAAUUACAUAAGCCUGAUUAACAUUGUGUCGCAGAUCGUACAGACAAUCAUUUACAAGACAAUGCGCAGUGAGCAGGGGAUUUUAAUGAGAGAUUAUCUACUUUGAUGAAUGUUACCCUUAAUAAGGGCUGUUCGGCACAAUAAAUGCCUUUGCCCGCAAAUCCUAGCUAACCGCAUAAGAUCAUCGCUCUACUUUUUUCCUAUCUAAGUGCCUGGGGAAAUGCAAGUGAAAGGCUGUAUUUUUGUCAGCUCGUCCAUGGUAGUAACCACAUUCUGUGUACAUAAUUAUCCCACGCUUUUCUACUCAUCUCAUUUUAAGCAUACCCUCGCCAGUUAAACAUAUCUCCACAAUAUUAAGAUAAAGACCCUGAACAUCUAUCCUGUCUGUACUCCUCAUAGUUUAAGAAAACUGAACAUAUGCAUCGUAUGAAGCAUUUUAUCGGGAUGUAUCACAGGUGACGUGGGAAUAGCUCCAUCCUAGACCGCAAGAAAUAGCAGAGAAUUGUGGACCAGCCCAGACCGUCACGCAAACCAUCUCCCUGCCAUUAACUCCAUCUACACUGCGCGCUGCCUCGCAAAGCCAUCGGUAUAAUCAAGGUAGGGUCUCAACCCGAACACUCCAACUUCUCCCCUCACCCACUAGGCAAGAGGGACAGAGUAUGAAAACGCAUACGUCCAGAUCCAGUGACAGUUUCUUCCCAGCUGUGGUCGUGUCAUUUGGAUGGGAACAUACAGGGCAAGAUUAGCAAGUUUGUUGAUGAUACAAAAGUGAGUGGUUUUGCAGAUAGUAAAGACUGUUGUGAAAGAUAGCAGCAGGAUCUGGAUCGAUUAGCCAGGUGGGCUGAGGAAUGGUUGAUGGAAUGGAAUACAGGGAAAUGUGAGGUGUUACAUUUUAGAACACUUAUGGGGUGAAAUUUGAAAGAAUUGUCAUGUAUACCUCAAGCGUAUGAGGCUGAAUGGCGACCUGCUACACGCGUGUCAAAUUAUUGAGGUAAUAGACAGUUACGAUAGUCAGAAUAGAUUUCUAAUUCAAGCCAUAUAAGAAUCAAGAAGGCAGAAAUAAUAUGCAACACUGACAUUCAAGAAGUAAAACGGGUUUAUUGAUUCACAGAGAUUAACAGCAAAAAUAAUUACUACGAUAUAUUGGUAUGAUAUAGAUUUAGCACGGAAAUGUUCACUCACAAUAAAAAGAUG